GCUACUGCACGCUGGGGAAGGAUGAGAAGCUUCGACAGGUUCGAGUUGAGCGUAGCGAAACAACGCGCUUUAGCGCGGCCCGCAGGGCGAGUCGCCACGCGACGAGUUAUCCUUCCCCCACCACCA
rfam:Serratia odorifera DSM 4582 genomic scaffold SCAFFOLD1, whole genome shotgun sequence.